rnacentral:tRNA from 1 species
GCCGUCUUAGCUCAGCGGUAGAGCACCCGCCUUGUAAGCGGAAGGUCAAGAGUUCGAUCCUCUUAGACGGCU